UAUGCACGCUGGCGGCGUGCUUAACACAUGCAAGUCGAACGGAAAGGCCCAAGCUUGCUUGGGUACUCGAGUGGCGAACGGGUGAGUAACACGUGGGUGAUCUGCCCUGCACUUCGGGAUAAGCCUGGGAAACUGGGUCUAAUACCGGAUAGGACCACAUUUUGGAUGGUGUGGUGGAAAGUUUUUCGGUGUGGGAUGAGCUCGCGGCCUAUCAGCUUGUUGGUGGGGUAAUGGCCUACCAAGGCGUCGACGGGUAGCCGGCCUGAGAGGGUGUACGGCCACAUUGGGACUGAGAUACGGCCCAGACUCCUACGGGAGGCAGCAGUGGGGAAUAUUGCACAAUGGGCGCAAGCCUGAUGCAGCGACGCCGCGUGGGGGAUGACGGCCUUCGGGUUGUAAACUCCUUUCGCUAGGGACGAAGCGUUUUUGUGACGGUACCUGGAGAAGAAGCACCGGCUAACUACGUG
rnacentral:rRNA from 1 species